GUGGAUGUAGCUCUGUGGCAGAGCACUUGCCUGUCCAUGAGCAAGGCCCUGAGUUCAACCCCCAGCACUACC
rnacentral:tRNA from 1 species